rnacentral:tRNA from 1 species
AUCUUUCUAGUACAGCUUAGUACAUGUGACUUCCAAUCAUACGGCCCCCGUUAAACUCCGGGGAAAGAUA